UUAAACCCAGCCCAAAUUAACGCCUACCCAACCCCAAACCAGGUCGAUCCAACCCAACCCAAUACUCAAAUCCACCCUAAUCUAAAAACCUACGCACAAUACACGAAGAAAGGGGUCGUGCUGGUCUUGAAGAAACACACAUAUAUAGACAAUGCACACAGUACACACAAUCAACGCAGAGACACGCCUGAAAAUUGAAAGCUGUGCAGCUUUGCUAUUCUUCUGAACAAUAGAUACACAAUAUAGUGAUACAGUAGAGACGCAUAUACAGAAAAACAAUACAGAGGGAGGGACGCCUGGAAAUUUUGAAAGAAGGGUUGGCGGCUCGGCUUCUUCUGAAAAAAUACAAGAACAUCAACCAUUGGACCUUACUCCAUCUCCCUCACGGCGGAGAACAGACGCACACACACAAACAAAUUUGCAACUGCUUUUGAGUUUGCUUAGUGUAGAGUCACCAUUAAAGGUAGCCUGUUCUAAAUUCGACAGGGUUUCAGGCUCGAGGUCUCGAUUUCUCCUGUGGUUCCUGUUCGAUUUAGCCAUUGUUGAUAAGCAUGGAUUUUGCUGGAAUUUGAUCGAGGAUGACCUCAGUUCGAGCCUCUUUGCUGGGUCGAGCUCAUUUGUAUUUGUUCAGCUCCAUUUUCCAUUGUUGGAUGCUCGAUUUCGUCUGAAAUUUGAACUCGAAAGUUCGUACCUACAGAUUCUCAAAUAAGCUCAACAGGCUCAACUAAGCUCUUUCUCUUCUCAUUGUUUUGUUUGCGAUGGAUUAUGGUGUUUGUGUUGGUUUGGUCGACAUUCUUUAUUAAAUUGCUUUAAUUGGUUAUCUGGAUUUCAAAUCUCGUCAUUUAAGCUGGAUCAAUUCUGUUUGUGGAUAAUUCUUGUUUGCGUUUGAUGCUAUGUUAGAGUUGAAUUUUAUGAAUAAAUCAGUAGAGUUUAGGUCUGGAAUUAGCUGCUAGUUGCGAUUUGCGCUCGAAAGAGAUAACAACAACAACAACAACAACUACCCAGUAUAGUCCUACAUAGUGGGGUCGAGAAAUAAGAACUGAAGUAUUCAGGUUAUGGUUAACUGUUUGAGGGACCAAGUCGCGUGUUGAAUGCUUAAAUUUUCUUGAAAAUAAGUAUCGAGACUAUUAGUUAUCACUAAGGUGGAAGUUUUAAUCAAACUUUGAUCUAUUGUGAGUUCUUUAAAUCGUCUUGGUAAACAUGUUGAGUUCUUAGGAUAAUUGAAUAUAACUAGGUUCCUCCUUGUUUAUUAAGGGAAGAUGUUUGUGGUCAAACUUUGAUCUAUUGUGAUUCCUUUAAAUCUGUUUGGUACACAUGUUGAGUACUUACAAUAAUUGAAUAUAACUAGGUUCCUCCUUGUUUAUUAACGGAAGAUGUUUGUGAGCUAGUUAAUGUACUAAUCUGUGCUUUCGAUUUCUCAUGAAUUUUACUGAAUUUCAUUGUUUGGCGUGUUUGACUGAAGCUCGUCCAGUUAUGAGACGAUUUCUCGUGAAUUUUAACGAAUUUCAUUGUUUGGCAUGUUUGACUGAAGCUCGUCCAGUUAUGAGAUUCCGACUCAUUUCCAUCUUCUAUUUGAUACUUUUGAACUGUUUUCUUUGCUUUCAAUUAGAGUUGCUGUUGUUAUUUGUUUGAUCAUGUUGGGUUUUGCAGCAUUUUCUUUAGUUUGAACUGGUUGGGAACUACUUGAAUAUUUGAGUGAAAAGCCAUGUAUUGAAGAGCUAAUUAUCUUUAGUUAGAGCCUGCUGGUUAUUCUUAUAUAUAAUGUGUGUCAUGCCUAAUAUUGCUGCUGAUUAGGAAGGAUUUGAAGCAGCAGUUUGCUUUGUUCUUCUGUAUAUUAAAUCCUGAGGUACCCCAAAAGUUAAUGUUAUUUGAUUUUGCUAUUUAUCUUUAUUUCCACCGCUAUUUGAGGUUGCACCUCUUUUGUUAUUUAAGUUAUGUUCUGUUACCCAUUCCAUUUCCUUGGCAUCUUAGAAUGACUAAUACCGUGGGUUAAUUUUCAUGCGUUUCAGACUUUCUUUUUUGUAGUUCUUAUUGGAAAUUCGAGUUGUGCCAUACAUAAACAAAAAUCCAUUAGCUAUGACCCUAAAAAGUAGUUCGAACAUUCUUUGAAAUUAGAAUCGAGUGUGCAAUUUAGUGAAUUUUCAUGGCCUCCCGCAAAAUUAAUAACACGUUAGUCGCUUUAGGCGCGUUCUUAAAUAAUUUACUUUCCUAAAUACAGGUGUACAUUUAUGUGACCCAAAUCCAAAUCUCCACGAAGUUGGAAUGUGUCAAAAUCCACGGGUGCGUUUAUGUCACAUGGUUCGAGGCAUAUUUUAAUGAAGUUGCAAUUUUCUUUAAAGAAUAAUGAUAAAGGCGGUUUAAAGUCAAAAGGCACAUAAGUUAAAACAUGUUCUAAAAUCAGAUAGUUUAAGCCAAAUAUGACAGUUGAGCGACCGUACUAGAACCACGGAACUUGAAAAUGGCUAACACCUUCUCCCGGGUUAACAGAAUUUCUUACCCGAAUUUUUGGUUCACGGACUGUAAGUAGAGUCAUUCUUUUCCUCGAUUCGAGAUUCUAACCGGUGACUUGGGACACCAUAAAUCUCCCAAGUGGCGACUCGGAAAUUCUCUUUAAUAAUUGAAUCCCGUUUUGAUUGUCCUUAAAGUGGAAAAAAUCCCUUAUCUUUGCCCUUCGCCGGGUUAUAUUGUAAAAAGGAGGUGUGACAGCUCUGGCGACUCUGUUGGGGAGGGAACCCAGAAUCUCUGGUUCAGGGUUCAAGAAUUCGAGCUUAGAAUAUUGUUAUAUUUGGCUUUGUUUAUUACUAGAUUUUACAUGAUGACUUAAUGUGAAAAAUGAUGCUUUUACCACUUUAAUAUUAUUUGAACUGUAUAUAAACUGCUACGAAACCCUUCUCUCUUUAUCUUCGGGGAUGUGCUCGCUGGUCAAGACUCCUUAAUCUGUUAGUGUCAUAUCUUCAAAUAAGAAAGAGGCUCGGACAAGUUACAGAGUCGGACGAUCUUGCGGGUCCCCGGUACGUAGCCCCAUCCUCGACUCGAGUUGUCCGCUCUGGUACACAGUCUAGAACAAAUACCUAGGUGUUGAACUUAGUAUAACAAACCUCAUUCCGGAUCCCUAGUAGGAGCGCUUAUCUGCAUCAUGCAUUUGACUUAGGGGACUCAACAUAGGGGUUGGGUCCGUCUAGGACAGGUGUACCCAAAAUAACAGACCAUCCUGAUGCAUCCUAAUGUGAUACAUGUUGCAUUUCUCCAAGGGUGAAAGGGUCAUUUGGCCACCAGUCAUCUUUGUGCUAUGACUGCAGAGUUUUGAAGAUUGUUUGUUGAAAUUUUGCCACUAUUCAUGGAAAAGUUUCUGGGAUAAAUUGAUAGCUGAAUAUCUACUAGCUUGAACCUUGUUACCAUUGCUUUCUAAUAGUUGUUGUUGUCAUUGAGUUUAAUAGAGGGGAUUCAGUUGGGCUAGAGAUUGAGCAGCUUGAAUUGUGAUAUGGUUGAGCAUACAGUAAGCUUACUCUACCGAAAUUUUGUGUCUGUUGAGAUUCGUGCGCGAGUUUAGCAAUGAUAAUUUAAAAUCUGGUUUUUACUUCUAAAAAAGUUCUCUUUGUUGAAUUGAGUGCUCUUGUUACAUAAACUAUUGUCUAGUUGGUUAGAAUCUGCUGACAGAAGUUGCAUGUUCGUUGGAAAAUAAUUUGCUGCUUAUUUUCUGUUGCUGAAAAGAAUUUCAUACUUGCUGUCCACCGCCCUGCAUUGUUCUUUUUUCGCUCAACAAUGGAGAUUUACACAUUUCUUUAAUUGAUUGUUGUUACUAUAGUUUUUCUUAACAGUUGAAGGAAUUUUGCAAAGGUUUUGGCUUCAGUUAACUUAACUGCGUUGCUUCAGUUUAUAUGUCAACAAUACAUUAUUGACAUUCAAGUUUUGAGUUGUUUUUUAUUUGAAAAGUAGAUCCCGUACUAUUCAACUGUACUUUGUGGUUAUUCUGACUCAAUAUUUUUGUGGUUCUAAUGCUUUGUUUCUACAGUCGAGGUCGUCAUUCUGGGUUGAAAAUUUCUGUGCCUAUUGCUGCUGAAUUUAAUGCUCAAGGUGUUGCUGAAGUUUGAGUUUUGAGAAGCAAUUGAAUAGCGAACCUGCCAGCUUAUUUGAAUUCUAGAAUUUUGUAUUUAAAUGAAAGUUGUUGAUGUAAUACAAGUUUCCUAAGCAUUAUUUGUAUUUUUUCUACAACAUUUUGUAAACCUGAAACUGGGUGUGGACAUUAGAACUUGUUUGAAGAAUUGUGAACUCAAAUAAGAGUGUUUUGGACUGUUAUUGAAGGUUGUUGAAACAACCUUGGAAAUUUGCACUUUUGCACUAGUUGUGUAGUGAGUGCAAGCUGAUUUCUUUAGAUUGUUAUUGAAGGUUGUUGAAACAACCUUGAAAAUUUUCACUUUUUGCACUAAUUAUGUAGUGAGUGCAAGCUAAUUUUUUUGCACACUUGAGUUCAGUUGAUUACAAAUAUUUUGGUGAUUUAGUUAAGAUGGAAUUCCAAGCUGAAAAAUAUUGCUUAAAGUUACUUUAUUUGUUGUUGCUAGUUUAGUUUGGUGGUAGUUGGUCCAGCAUGCUAUAAAUGUGAAUCUGUAGAGUUGUCUGUAGCACAAUUUUUUGCUUGAUUCUAAAUUUUAAUUACAUUUUGAGUUUGAUCCUGCACAGUUGCUGAGUUUCAAUUAGCAGUCAAGUUACAAUCGUAUUAUUUGGAUUUCACUCUCUUUUUAGCAUGUAAAUAUAUUAAUUAAGUUUAAUCCCGAUAUUUUAGGCUUUGUUUCACUUUGUAGUUGGUUUAUUUCUCACUUUUUAGCAUGUAAAUAUAUUUAUUAAGUUUAAUCCCGAUAUUUUAGACUUUGUUUCACUUUGUAGUUGGUUUAUUUAACAAAAUCUAAAAAAAAUAAGAAAACAAAACUCCAAAAGGAAAUACAUUUUUUGCGUAUUAAUUUUAUUUUCAUUUGUAAAGAAAGUAUAGUUUCCAAAAUAUAGUUUUACCUAGUAUAUUGAUUUUUGUUAGUUGUAGGCCUUAGGAAAUACUGAGUAAUAGUAGUAGUUAAUUUCUUUAAAUAUAGUUACUAUGUUUUUCUGUCCGAUUUUUGCUAUUGUAAAUCAGAAGUAUUUAAUCUUUAGUUUUGUUACUUUGGAUUAUCCUUAAUACAAAUUAAAAAAAUGAUGAAAAAGAAGAAGAGAAAGCAGAAAAUAGAGAAUGAAAAGAAAAAAGUUUUUUGGGAUUACAACUUUUUGGGUGAUUUGUUGAGGUUUGUAAAUAUUUACGCAAAUUGCUUGAAGUGUAUUGAGGCUGCAAAGUUGUUUGGUUAAAUUACCAUUUCUUCAUUUGUUCAAGAACACGGCUCGAAAGAUUACCAUUAGGCUGCAACUUUGUCAGUUAUUGUGAGGAUGUCCAGAAUUACAGAAUUAACCAGUUUUUGCAUAUGUGGCCACCUUUUGUAAAUGUUUUGGAAAAGGGUCAAAGAGUUAGAUAAGGUUGGAUUUGUAUCUUUGUUUCUUAGUAUCAUAUGGUUUUAGUGGUAUUGAAAUGGUUUCAAGUUGAUUUUCAAAACAAGAAAAGAAAAAAUAUUUUUUUAAUCUAUUAGAGCUUUCAUGGCUUGAAUUAUAUAAAAAAAUGAAUUAGUUUAUUCGCCUCAUUUCCGAUCUUCCAGAACUACGCAAAGAUCUGAUUCAUGCGGGGUCAUGAUACAUAGGCAACCUAUAUAGGGUUCGAUCAAAUCAUUUUAUUUCAUAAAAAGAAGAAGGAUAAAGAUAAAAAUCGAGAAAAAAGAAAUAAGGAGAAAAAGAAAAAGAAAAAAGGGUGUAAUUAUGGGAUGUGAAAAGAAAAGAGUGGUAAAUAAAAAAAAAAGGAAGGAAAAUGAUCAAGCAAGUGCCAGAAAAGCAAAGAAAGAGAGAGGUUGAAAUGAACAAAAGCAGUUGGACAUGUUGAAGCCAAUUCAGAUAAAUAUGCCAAACCCUCUGUCAAAGAAGUUUGAUGUUUCUCAAAGGUGCACAUAUUGCUCAGAUGCCCCGAGGCAUGAUACAGAGAAGUGCUGCAGUCUAAAGAAAGCAAUUCAGAAGCUAUUAAUUCAGAAGAUGAUUCCAUAUGACAUUCAUACCUUCGAAGUCAUGUUGGAGCCGGUAACUGUGACUAGGUGCAUUGCACGCAUUGUGAUAUUUUAGUUGUUUAAUGUCCUAACGCUAACAUGAUGGCUUUAUUUGUUAUACUCAUAGCAGAAGUGUGGUUGGUUUGUGGUUUUUAAAGUAGUAACUCUCCUCUACAACACAAAGGCAAAGGCAAUGGCAAUGGGGGACAACAAUAUAACUGAGUUGGUCGACACCAAGGCCCGAAAGCAGUUGGCUGACCAGGACAAUGGGUUAAGUAAAGAGGUAAAAAUGGCGAGACAACACAUGGCAAAAAUGUAUCAGGCUUGGAUGACUGGGAAAGUACCACACCACCUAGCUUCCUAGAUGCUACCCUUCUCCAAACUCCGAUCAUAGUUUCAAAUGAUCCUCCAUACUCUCCAGAUGCACCCGCCUACGACAGUUUCCCAACCACGCCAGCAGCUCCAUCACUUGCCCUCCAACAAUCCCCAACAAUGAAUUUUUACUCAAAGCUCAUAAUAUCCAAUGCUAUCCCGCAAAGGCGGCCCAAAAGGUUCCUGACUCGUACAAGCAGAGCCUAUAGGAUGAGUCUCACGUUGAGAAUGAAAAGUUCACAGGAAGGGAAAGGCAGGAUGGAAUACCCCGGAGGCUAGCAGGCAUAAGAUAGUCCUUGAAGAACAAGCAAGUAAUGCGAGACCAGGGUAAUAUGGCUUGCGAAGAACUAUUUGUAUCCCCUGACAUUCGCCUACCCACAGGGUUCAAAGUGCCAAAACUUAACUUGUACGAUGGGCGUGGAGAUCCGGUGGCCCACCUGAGGGUUUAUUGUAGUGAAAUGAGAGGCGUUGAAGAGAAAGAUGACCUGUUGAUAGCAUAUUUCAGCAAGAGCCUGACGGGGCAACAUUGGACUGGUAUACUCGUCAAGAUGUCGAUGAAUGGCCUACAUUGGGUGUGCAAAAAUUUAACUUGUACGAUGGGUGUGGAGAUCUCGUAGCCCACCUGAGGGUUUAUUGUAGUGAAAUGAGAGGCGUUGGAGUGAAAGAUGACAUGUUGAUAGCAUAUUUCAGCUAGAGCCUGUCUAGGGCAGCUUUGGACUGGUAUACUCUUCAAGAUAUCGGCAAAUGGCCUACAUAGGGUGACACGGCUCAAGAUUUUGUUCGAUACUUUCAAUGUAAAUCCAGUGUUACCCCAGACCACGCUUCCCUAUCUAAAAUGAAAAAGAAGCUGCAUGAAAUCUUUAGGGAGUUUGGGCUCAGAUAGAGGGCACAAGCUGCUCGAGUCAGUACCUCGAUUGGUGAAAAGGAAAUGGUUGAGCUUUUCCUACAAGCCCAGGAGCCCACCUACUUUAGUUAUUUGAUCCCAGCUUUGGGAAAACCUUUCAAUGAUGUGUUAAAUAUGGGGGAACAAGUAUAAGAGGGAAUCAAGUCAGGCAAAAUCAUGAGUGGUUCGAAAGAUGUUCAGAACAUCACCUUUCAAUGAUGUUUAAAAUAGGGGAGCAAGUAGAAGAGGGAAUCAAGUUUGGCAAAAUCAUGAGUGGUUCGAAAGACAUUCAGAACAUCCAAGUAAGCUUCGGCGGGAGAAAGAAAAAUAGAAAAGAUGAUCAGCAUUUCCAGCCUCCACAUCGUCCUCAUGGACAUCCGCGUGUACCAAAUAAUCCUCUCCAACGCUGCUUCUCCCCACAUAACUCAAACAAUUGUACAUCACUUUCCCCAUACCCAACUCCAUAGAAUUCCCAUCCACCCCCACGAGCAUACCAAAACCUCCUGGAUUAGGUUUCCAACCCAGCCAAGCAUGUAAGAAUGAUAGGCUACUUAAAAAGGAAAAGUCAUUCACCCCUAUCGGACUAUCAUAUGCCAGUUUGUUCCAAAGGUUGAAGCAGUUGGACAUGUUGAAGCCAAUUCAGAUAAAUAUGCCAAACCCUCUGUCAAAGAAGUUUGAUGUUUCUCAAAGGUGCACAUAUUGCUCAGAUGCCCCGAGGCAUGAUACAGAGAAGUGCUGCAGUCUAAAGAAAGCAAUUCAGAAGCUAUUAAUUCAGAAGACAUUGCCGCGCAAAAUCCGGAUGCAGCGGACACCAGCCAAAGUCCAUCGCCUGUGCAUAAUGAGAUGAACAUGUUGGGAUGUGAGAGUUCUUCAGGGAGCCUCGGAGGCAUGAGUGCUGCUAAGCUUUUAGCGCUACCAGAGGUUGAUCUUCAGAGCGAGCCGGUGAAAGGAACCCAAAAGCAAUCUGUUAAGAACAAUGUGAAGAAGGCUUGUGAAGUGCCUAGUGUUAUUGAUGUGGAACCCAGUGGCUAAUAUGUCGGGAUGAGUAAUUGGGAAGACGCGCCACUUCUUGGUCAGCCAUAGGGGAGUUUUGGUGGUUUAUUUUGUUGUCAUUUCUGUUGUCCGGGUUAUUUUCAGGGUUGUAAUCCGGAUAUUGUCUUGUGAUUCAAAUCCUUUCAUCCUUUUAUUUUUCCUAGUUUUGUUUAGUGUCGUCUAGGUUUGUUCCAGGGUUUAACCCCAGUCUAUUUAAUUGCUUUGUUGUCCAAGCUCUUUCACCAUCUGUCUAAUGUAAUUUUCUGUUAUUUAUAGUCAUUUGGCUUAGUUUUCUUUUAUUUUUACAAUUUUUUCCCCUGUUGGCGUUAAUGAUAUGACAUGUAUGCAUAACCUCACGCCUGGUCUUAAAAGAUUACUCGUAAGGCAAUACAGACACUUCAGGGAAAUAAGAACAGAUUUGGACCAUUUGAGAUCUUUUGAAGCCCGAACCACGUGAAACGCGUGCAGACAGAACAUGAAGAAAUCCUGAAAGAAAGUUUACCAAACUGGCAGGGACCAUUUGUUGUAGCUGGAGUGUUGUCCAAUGGUGCAUUAUAUUUGACAGAUGAGGAAGGAAAAUGUGUAGAAAUAACUAUGAAUUCUGACGCAGUCAUGAGAUACUAUGUAUGAUUCCUUUGACUGAUUAUACUUGCUUGUCUUGGCAUAUUUUAAAAACUGGAAUGAUAAAGACAUUUAUUCUGCUAUCUAAACACUUUAUCCUUUCUAACCCUUUUGAGCUUUAAUUAGUUUCUUUCAUAUCCCUCUUUCGAAAUCAGUAACAAAAGUCAAAAAUACAAGUGUGAGAAGGAAAUGAAAGAAAAAGAAAGGAAAGAAUGAAAAAAUAAAACAAAAGAAAAGAAAAAAAAUAGAAAAACAAGAAAAGAAAAGAGAAAAGAGAAAAGAAAAAGAAAAGAGAAAGAAAAUAAAACAAAGAAAGGAAAAGGAAGAAAAGAAAAACAGAAAGAGAAAAAAAGGAGAAGAAAAAUAAAAACAAAAACAAGGAAUCAUAUGAACUACAUUUGACCUGAUUCCUUUUAAGGAUACGUAGGCAGCCUCACGGUUUGGUCUCAUUAAAAUAAAAAUCCAAAAGUCCCCAAGCAAGAAACAGGGGCAGAAGUUGUGGUUGUUGUAAGAAUUUGAUUCCGAAAGUUGUAAUUUUGAACCCAUUUAAAUUAUUUUGAGCCAUUGAUACCCUUUCUUUCUAACCCUAGCCAAAAGCCCACGUUACGGUCCAGAGGAAGACCUUCUUAUCAGUCUUCAAGAGAUGCCAAGUUGAGCAAGUAGAUGUGAUUCAUGUCAGGGGAAAACACUCCAGUCCAAGCAGGAAAUAUAAUAAAAAUGAGAGAUUCUUAUUGGUGAAAACCCUCACGGGCACCAUAAGGCGAGGAGAGCUAAGAGAAAUAAAAAAAAAAAGAAAAAAUGAGAGAGUCUUAUUGGUGAAAACCCUCACGGGCACCUUGAGACGACUGUAAGUUGAGAGAAAAGAACAAAAUGAGAUAGGCUUGAUGGUGAAAACCCUUUAGGCGCUAUAAGUCGAAUAAGGAUUGAGAAUCAGAUUGGAUAAUCGGAGCAUCAAAGCCCAACUUCAUGGUUUGGGGGGUACAACAAGGGUUGAACAUCAGAUGUGCUUAACAGAAUUGGCCGCAGGUGGAUGUCAUGGUCAUUAGAGUUGGUACCCAUAUUUUAUAGCUUUCUAUUUUUUAGGUUUUUGUUAGGAAUCAUCUCCUUUCCUUGUCCUAUACUCUGUUCCUUUUGUCUUUUUUAUUCCCUCCUCUUGAGUCUGUCGGUCAAAACAAGUGAGAAAUGACGUCAAAAUCUGCAACCAGCUUUCCAAUUGCACAAAAGGGGACAUGUUUGUCACAUCAAAGCAACAUAAGUUAGGAAAGAAUAACAAGCACACUUAGCUGGAAACAAUCAACAUGCUUCAGGAUUCGUUUGAAGUACAAAGGCUUGGUAUAUAGCAAUUCACGGACAAUGCAACAGAAUGAGGGCUAGGGUGAAUGGAUCAAAAGUGUUCCAAGAAGAAAUCAAAGUUAUCAUGGCUAGCGAUAGAGCAUGUAGAACUCAAACUCAGAGCCAGUGAUUUGGGUCAUGAAAGAACAUCAUAUACAAUGUGGUUGGUAAAUAUGCUUUCGGGAUCAGGUGAAACACAAGGGUUUGGCAGGUGUCAGUUCAGGAAUAGUGAUUUGGGCCAGGAAAGAAAAUCAUAUACAACGUGGUUGGUAAAUAUGCUUUGGGGAUCAGGUGAAACACAAGGGUAUGGCAGAUGUUGUCCAGGAACAAUGUAACAGACGGAAGGUGUUGGUUUCGAAUGAGAAGAUGUAUUUUCUGGGUUCAGGUUUACAAAGGAAGCAGUUAGUCAAGGGGCAAACAGGGUCUUCAAAUGAAAAUCAAUCAUCAUGACAAGUAAAGGAGCAACAGACCUCAAGGUCAAGGUCAGUGGUUUAAGUAAAAAAAAAAUAGCAUACACACGAAGUGGGGGGGGGGGGCAAUGAACGUUCUUUGGGGGAUCAUAUGAAACACAAAGGAUGGGAAGAUAUAAGUUUCAUAAGCAAUGCAAAAACAGCAUGCAUACGAAGUGGGGGGCGAGGGACGUGCUUUGGGGGGUCAUGCGAAACAAAAAGAAUGGGAGGAUGUCAGCUCAUAAAUGAUGCAACGAAUAGAGAAUAUGGGGUCUAAAUGGAGAAGGGGUAUUUUCUGCGAUAAGGGUGACAGAGAAAUUGGUUAGACAAUAAGCAAGCAAUGUCUUUCAAGGUGAAAUCGAAGUUACCGUGGCAAGUGAAGGAGCACAACACAAAGAUGGGAAAGUCCACGAAGGUUAGCCAUGCAUAGUAAACUGACUCAGCAAUCUUAAGAAAGAUGUACAAAGAUGGAGGAGCAUAGUAAAGCCGCAAGGGUCAGAGGGUUAGCCAAGCAUAACUGACAAUAAGCAAACAAUGUCUUUCAAGGUGAAAUCAAAGUUACCGUGGCAAGUGAAGGAACACAACACAAAGAUGGGAAAGGCCACGAAGGUUAGCCAAGCAUAGUAAACUGACUCAGCAAUCUUAGGAAAGAUGUACAAAUAUGGAGGAGCAGAGUAAAGCCACAAGGGUCAGCCAAGCUUAAUACAUUGACAUGGUAAUCUCGAGAAAGAUGCAAGAAUUCUGGCAAAAGGGCUAGGAAUGUAACACAGUAAUGGGAGAGCAAAGUAAAGCCAAAAAGGUUGGGGGGUCAGCCAACCAACUCAGGCAGCUCAUCAUCAAUAUGGGAAUUUGAACACAAGGGAACAUGACAACGAGGGGGCCGCUUCCAACAAGAAUGCUGCGAGCCAACCACCACAUUUCAAAUUGACAAGUUUUCUUUGAUUGGCACAGGGGCAGAAAAUUCCGGAAGAGCCUAAAGGAGGCCGUCCCCAGGAGAAGGCAGGCACACGAAAGGUAUGAUCAAAAUCUCAGGGGUCGCCUGGAAGUGGGACUCAGUUAAAACUCAAAAGAGACAUAAUCCUUCAUAAAUACCCUCCACAACAAAGAGCACAAUGGGACAAGCUUUAACUAGCAAACCCCAAUAGACAACUAAUGGCUAAAAGAGGCAUGGAAGUUGAGAUGAAAUAUAGUUAAAACUCAAACUGGUGUAGGUAAAAUGGGCAAGCACCAACACCUUCCCAGUAAGAGUCGCAGAAACCCUCUUGGACAAUAAUCACUAGCAGAAACAACCAGAAGUCAGAAUUGACAUUUAAGUGGUAACCUUCAGGACCCUCUUGGAAAAUGGGACUCAUUUUAAGGUUAAUGACAUAAAAUGACUUGCAUAUCGAAGUAGGAUUCAGUUAGAGUUGUCAGGACCUUCCUGGAAAAUGGGACUUAGCUUAGAACACAAACAGUUGGGUGGCGUGGUCAAACCCAAAUACUUUCCCAACCAGAGUCAAUAAGAGUCAUCAGGACCUUUCUGAAUAAUGGGACUUAGAUUAGAUAUUUCCCCGACAAGAGUCAAGAAGAAUCAUCAGGACCCCCGUGAAAAAUGGGACAUAGAGCCAAAAUCUCCCCAGCCAGAGUCAACAAGAGUCAAUAAGAAUCAUCAUGACCCUCCUAAAAAAUGCGACUUAGAGAAAGUAUUCCUCCAGCUAAAGUCAAUAAGAGUCAAGAAAAGUCAUCAGGACCCUCCUGAAAAAUGGGAUGUAGAUUAUAUACUUCCCCAGCAAGAAGUCAACAAGAAUUGUCAGCACCUCCCCCCCCCCCCUCAGGACCCUCUUGGAAAAUGGGAUUUAGAAGGAAAAUUUUGAAUUUCCCCAGCUGAGUCAGCAAGAGCCAUCAGGACCCUCCUGAAAAAUGGGAUUUAGAGCCAGAAUCUCCCAGCUAAAGUCAACAAGAGUCAAGAAGAGUCGUCAGGACCCUCCUGAAAAAUGGGAUUUAGAGGGAAAAUUUCAAAUUUUCCCAGCUAGAGUCAAUAAGAGUCAAGAAGAGUCAUCAAGACCUUUCUAAAAAAAUGGGACUUACAUUAGAUACUGCCCAAGCAAGAGUGAACAAUAGUUAUUAGGACCCCUGGAUAAUAGGAUGUAGCCCUAAAUACUAACCCCCGCUGUCACCUUUUGUUUAUCAAACUAAAAGUUGUUAGGACCCGCCUGGAUAAUGGGAAGUAAUUUUAAUCACUAGUCACCAGCAGAUAUAACUCGUAGCAAGACAUGGUGGAAAAUAAUACCUUUCAUAAACACAGCAUAAUCUUGAAAUUGUCAGCAGUUGAGAAUGGUCAGGACCAGUUUUAAUAAUCAGGCGCCCACCUGUAGAACAAGGGAAUAUUUUUCAAAAUUCCAAGUUUUGCAAUCACGCGCCCACCUAAAGAACAAGGUAAUAUUUUUCAAACUUUUAUGUUUUUGAAAUCAGGCGCCCACCUCGAGAACAAGGGAAUAUUUUUAAAAUUUUUUAGUUUUUGCAAUCAGGCACCCACCUGGACAACAAGAAAACAUUUUUCAAAGUUUUAAGCUUUUGCAAUCAUGCGCCCACCUGUAAAAUAAGGGAAUAUUUUUCAAGUUUUUGUAAUCAGGCACCCACAUGUAGAACAAGGGAAUCUUUUUCAAACUUUUAAGUUUUUGCAAUCACGCGCCCACCUGGAGAACAAGGGAAUAUUUUUCAAAUUUUUAAGUUUUUGCAAUCAGGCGCCUACCUAUAUAACAAGGGAACAUUUUUCAAAGUUUUAGGCGUUUGCAAUCAGGCGCACACCUGUAAAAUAAGGGAAUAUUUUUCAAGUUUUUUUAAUCAGGCACCCAUCUGUAGAACAAGGGAAUAUUUUUAAAAUUUUUAAGUUUUUGCAAUCAGGCGCCCACUUGGAGAACAUGAGAACAUUUUUCAAAAUUUUAAGUUUUUCCAGUCAGGCGCCCACCUGUAUAGCAAGGGAAUAUUUUUUAAAUUUUAAGUUUUUUUAAUUAAGUGCCAACCUGUAGAACAAGCACAUAUUUUUCAAAAUUUCAAGUCUUGGUAAUCAGGCGCCCACCUGUAGAAUAAGGGAAUAUUUUUCAAAAUUUCAAGCUUUGGCAAUCAGGAGCCCGCCUGUAGAACGAGGGAAUAUUUUCAAAAUUCUUAAAAUUUCAAGCAUCAGGUGCCCACCUGUAGAACAAGGGAAUAUUAUUCGAAAUUCAAGUUUUUAUAAUCAGGCGCCCACCUGUAGAACAAGGGAAUAUUUUUCAAAAUUCAAGUUUUAGUAAUCAGGCACCCACCUGGAGAACAAGGGAAUAUUUUUCAAAAUUUCAAGUUUUAGUAAUCAGCCGGCCAUCUUGAGAAUAUUUUUCAAAAUUUCUAGUUUUGGUAAUCAGGCGCCCACCUGUAGAACAAGGGAAUAUCUUUCAAAAAUGCAAGUUUGGUAAUCAGGCGCCCACCUGUAGAACAAGAGAAUUUUUUUCAAGUGUUAAGUUUUGAUAAUCAGGCGCACACCUAUAGAACAAGAGAAUAUUUUUCAAAAUUCAAGUUUUGUAACCAGGUGCCCACCUGUAGAACAAGGGAAUAUCUUCAAAAUGCAAGAUUGGUAAUCAGGCGCCCACCUGUAGAACAAGGGAAUAUUUUUCAAGUGUUACGUUUUGAUAAUCAGGCACCCACCUGGAGAAAAAGAGAAAAUAAUUCGAGUUCAGCAAUCAGGCAUCCACAUGGAGAAAGAGAAAACAUCCCAUAUUACAAUUCAAGUCAGCAACAAGAGAAGCUCGUGGCAAGAAUACAAGUCAACAGUCCGAGACAAUCAACAAAAGUUAGUCACAGUUAAAAAAAAGAAGAAGAAAAAAGGAAGGCAAGCAGGAAGUUAAUCCAAAUAAAAGAUGUGAAUUUCUCAACGCAUGGUUGAGGUCACAUGAAAAUAACUCCUAAAAAUAGACCAAAAUAAAUUUUUUAUUAAUUUUAGGAGUUUUUCUUAAUUUAAUUGCAUUUAAUACAUUUUUAAUAUUUUUAAAAAUAACAGAAAGCCAUAAAAAGUGUCACAUUUUUAAUUUUUUGCCACCUUAGGUUCAAUUGCAUUUAGAAAUUAAUUACAUUGAGUUAAUUGUGUUAUUAAUCAAAAAUUGCAAAAAAUGAUCAUUUUUACAUAGUUAGAUUAAUUUUACAAUUUGAAUUGAUUUAGGAAUUUAGUUUAGGUUUUUUUAAUUAAUUAAAACAAACAAAAAUAAAAGAAAGAAAUUGAAAAACAAAUUCGAAAUUGGGUAAUGUGAUAAGUGAGCCCAAAUUUUUCAAUAUCCAUUCUUCAUUUAUACCCAACCCAAAUUAACCCCUACCCAACCCCAAACCGGGUCGACCUAACCCAACCCAAUACCCAAAUCCACCCUAACCUAAAAACCUAUACACACAGUACAUAGAUACAAGAAGAAAGGGGCUGCGCUGGUCUUGAAGAGACACACAUAUAUAGACAAUACACAUAGUACACACAAUCUACGCAGAGACACGCCUGAAAAUUGAAGGCCGCGCAGCUUUGCUAUUCUUCUGAACAAUAGAUACACAAUAUAGUGAUACAGUAGAGACGCAUAUACAGAAAAACAAUACAGAGGGAGGGACGCCUGGAAAUUUUGAAAGAAGGGUUGGCGGCUCGGCUUCUUCUGAAAAAAUACAAGAACAUCAACCAUUGGACCUUACUCCAUCUCCCUCACGGCGGAGAACAGACGCACACACACAAACAAAUUUGCAACUGCUUUUGAGUUUGCUUAGUGUAGAGUCACCAUUAAAGGUAGCCUGUUCUAAAUUCGACAGGGUUUCAGGCUCGAGGUCUCGAUUUCUCCUGUGGUUCCUGUUCGAUUUAGCCAUUGUUGAUAAGCAUGGAUUUUGCUGGAAUUUGAUCGAGGAUGACCUCAGUUCGAGCCUCUUUGCUGGGUCGAGCUCAUUUGUAUUUGUUCAGCUCCAUUUUCCAUUGUUGGAUGCUCGAUUUCGUCUGAAAUUUGAACUCGAAAGUUCGUAUCUACAGAUUCUCAAAACCUUAAAGAAUUUUAGCUCAACAGGUUCAACUAAGCUCUUUCUCUUCUCAUUGUUUUGUUUGUGAUGGAUUAUGGUGUUUGUGUUGGUUUGGUUGAUAUUCUUUAUUAAAUUGCUUUAAUUGGUUAUCCGGAUUUCGAAUCUCAUCAUUUAGGCUGGAUCAAUUCCGUUUGUGGAUAAUUCUUGUUUGCAUUUGAUGCUAUGUUAGAGUUGGAUUCUAUAAAUGAAUCAGUAGAGUUUAGGUCUAGAAUUAGCUGCACGCUCGAAAGAGAUAUGUGUUUGGAAGUGAUAAAUCAGAACUGAAGCAUUGAGGUUAUGGUUAACUGUUUGAGUGACCAACUCGCGUGUUGAAUGCUUAAUUUUCUUGAAAAUAAGUAUCGAGACUAUUAGUUAUCACUAAGGUGGAUGUUCUAAUCAAACUUUGAUCUAUUGUGAGUUCUUUAAAUCGGCUUGGUACACAUGUUGAGUUUUUAGGAUAAUUGAAUAUAACUAGGUUCCUCCUUGUUUAUUAACGGAAGAUGUUUGUGAGCUAGUUAAUGUACUAAUCUGUGCUUUCGAUUUCUCAUGAAUUUUACUG
rnacentral:lncRNA from 1 species